AGAGUUUGAUCCUGGCUCAGAGCGAACGCUGGCGGCAGGCUUAACACAUGCAAGUCGAACGGGCACUUCGGUGUCAGUGGCAGACGGGUGAGUAACACGUGGGAACGUACCCUUCGGUUCGGAACAACUCAGGGAAACUUGAGCUAAUACCGGAUACGCCCUUCGGGGGAAAGAUUUAUCGGCUGGGGAUGGGCCCGCGGCCUAUCAGCUUGUUGGUGGGGUAGUGGCCUACCAAGGCGACGACGGGUAGCCGGCCUGAGAGGGUGACCGGCCACACUGGGACUGAGACACGGCCCAGACUCCUACGGGAGGCAGCAGUGGGGAAUAUUGCGCAAUGGGCGAAAGCCUGACGCAGCGACGCCGCGUGGGGGAUGACGGCCUUCGGGUUGUAAACCUCUUUCAGCAGGGACGAAGCGCAAGUGACGGUACCUGCAGAAGAAGCACCGGCCAACUACGUGCCAGCAGCCGCGGUAAUACGUAGGGUGCAAGCGUUGUCCGGAAUUAUUGGGCGUAAAGAGCUCGUAGGCGGUUCGUCACGUCGGCUGUGAAAACCUGAGGCUCAACCUCAGGCCUGCAGUCGAUACGGGCGGACUUGAGUACUGCAGGGGAGACUGGAAUUCCUGGUGUAGCGGUGAAAUGCGCAGAUAUCAGGAGGAACACCGGUGGCGAAGGCGGGUCUCUGGGCAGUAACUGACGCUGAGGAGCGAAAGCGUGGGGAGCGAACAGGAUUAGAUACCCUAGUAGUCC
rnacentral:rRNA from 1 species